rnacentral:rRNA from 1 species
ACUCCUACGGGAGGCAGCAGUGGGGAAUUUUGGACAAUGGGGGCAACCCUGAUCCAGCCAUUCCGCGUGAGUGAAGAAGGCCUUCGGGUUGUAAAGCUCUUUCGGCAGGAACGAAACGGUGAGCUCUAACAUAGCUUGCUAAUGACGGUACCUGAAGAAGAAGCACCGGCUAACUACGUGCCAGCAGCCGCGGUAAUA